GAUGAACGCUGGCGGCGUGCCUAAUACAUGCAAGUCGAACGAAACUUCUUUAUCACCGAGUGCUUGCACUCACCGAUACAGAGUUGAGUGGCGAACGGGUGAGUAACACGUGUGCAACCUGCCCAAAAGAGGGGGAUAACACUUGGAAACAGGUGCUAAUACCGCAUAACCAUAGUUACCGCAUGGUAACUAUGUAAAAGGUGGCUAUACUACCGCUUUUGGAUGGGCCCGCGGCGCAUUAGCUAGUUGGUAGGGUAAAGGCUUACCAAGGCAAUGAUGCGUAGCCGAAUUGAGAGGUUGAUCGGCCACAUUGGGACUGAGACACGGCCCAAACUCCUACGGGAGGCAGCAGUAGGGAAUCUUCCACAAUGGGCGAAAGCCUGAUGGAGCAACGCCGCGUGGGUGAAGAAGGUCUUCGGAUCGUAAAACCCUGUUGUUAGAGAAGAAAGUGCGUGAGAGUAACUGUUCACGUUUCGACGGUAUCUAACCAGAAAGCAACGGCUAACUACGUG
rnacentral:rRNA from 1 species